UUGCUUUGGUGUCACAAGGCAUAAUUUGACUUGAUUCAUUGAAUAAAAAGAAAAAUGAUCUGCAUUUGUCUUUAUCUGAAGGCGCCAUUUAGAAAAAAAAUCAACAAACUGUUCCUGCAGUUUGUCUUGAUGGAGACUGAAAUUAAUUUGCAUUGUAAUUAAUUUGACUAUUUCUCAAACAGUAGGUGGUUUACAGCUAUGUGUGUGUCUUCCCGUGUGAGUGUGAACAUGUGUUUGUGUGUAUCGAUGUACACUUGAUGGAACCCCUCAGAGUUUUAACACGCACAACUCUUGACCGUGUCCAACCUGUCUGAUUCCGCUCAUGUUAAUUUAAUGAGCGAAAAGCAUGCGCAGCGGGAGGCGGUCACACCGUAUCAUAAAACCAAAUGAGGCUUUGAAAUCAGCAGGCUGAAGCAAAAGACUUUAUCAAAAUCAAUAAGUGCACCAAAGAGGCAAACAAACAAAGUCUGAGAGCAAGGUCAAGGGAACAGGGCCUCACAAUCGAUGACAUAUGACUGCAUCUGAAUGAGAUCACACACACAUACACACACAAACAUACACAGGGGACAAUAUUCAAUACACUCAUGCCUGCUGUUGCCGGGGACCCAUUAAUGACUCCAUUGACAUCCAGCAUGGAAGCUUUCUUCCAUCAUGCAUUGCAGUUUCUCCACACAUAGAUCAUCUAUGGGACUGUCGCGUGAAUGCCAUUAACAUCACAGCCAAACGUGAUUCCUCUGCCGACACGCCACUGUGAAAAACACUCAAGGUCACGCCCUUUUGAUCCUUUCCAAGAGUGAAUAAAUGGAGAUUUAUUCUGCAUAACUAAUGCGUUCAUCUAUUUAAUUUACGACCCUGCUUAGCAUUGGAUUGGGUGAAGACAUUUGUCUCAAUUAAUAACUGCUCUGCCAUUUGCUAAGGUUGCUUUUCUUUAGCAGGACAGCAUAUUUGCAGGUUUUUAUUGGCAGUAUUUUAAAAAAUGCUGAAAAUGUGUCAUUCACAGUGCAAAAACGAACCUUUGUGAUUGCUCAGUUUUCUUUCCCAGCUCCUCAAAACCCUUGAAUAUCAUUCUUUCUCACUGCUUUUGUGCAUCACAUUUCCCCGGAGGCUCAACCUAACUUUAGCCUCUCAUUAUAUGCCAGCGCAUUGUUCCUGCCUUGCCUCCUUCUUGCUUGUGUUGUAAGUUGGCAAUUCAUGAUUGGGUCCCUGAGGAGGGGUACUAAGUGCCUCCCAGUCUGUAAACACUGAGAAGGCUGACUUAUACAUGGAGAAGCUUUAGGUGCUGCGAAGACACAAAUAACUAAGAUGCACAUAUUUUGACAUGCACAAACACAUCCUGACACACAAACAUGAAAUGAUGGUAAACAUCAACAUUAAGUGGUUUGGGGAAUAAAAGUGCUUCUCAGACAUUUUCCACAUAUAAUCUGCUUUUCUCUCGUGAGGUUUCAUCAUGUCACCCAAGUCUCCAGAGGGGGCGUUUUUCCCUGACAGUCGUGAACAUGAAUGCCACACUGCACUAGAGUCAGUCAUUUCUCUCCCCAGCUGUCACUUAGCACCUCCCCGAGCUCUGUCUUUGUGUCUACCUGUCGGUUUUGCUGUCUGCUUAGAUGUCUGUCUCUCUACGUCCCUGUCAGUGGGUCUGUCGAAACUUUGUUUUCCAGCAGCCGUCACAGCCUUUAUCUCUGUGCAUGUUGGCUAACAGGCAGACAGGUAUGCGCACACGAACCCGUGUUAGUCAGGGUUCUUUGUUUUCUGCUACUGAUUGUUAUGCAGCAUAUCAAAUUAACAUAAACUGUGUUGGUAACUUAUUGCAGGUUGUCAACAACAAAUAAAUGAUCUGCAAAAGACAGAAUAAUAUAGGGUUGCACAAGCCAGAAGACAUUUUAGAAGAUUAUUAUGCAUUGAAAUUAAGCCAAAAAUGUGUGUAAACAAAGGCUGUGAGGUGCUCUCUUUUUCAAGCUCCUUUAAGGGCUUUUUUGACAUUGACGACAUAAACUAAAAUUUACAUCUCUCCCUUUGAAUAUAAAAAAGCAAACAAGUCCACAAGUGACAAGAUUUAGCGAAAAUCAAAGGCCUGUUUUUACACUUUCUAUGUAAGCCAGCGGGCUAAGAUUAUUUGUCAAAAGCGACGACUUAAAAAUGAAGAGGACAAAAUAGGCCCAUAGGGGGGUGCAGAGUUUUGUGGUCUCCUCGGACCACCUGAAUUAUGAAAAUCAAGAUCUAGCAAACAUGUCUUCGCAGAAUUUUAUAAACAGUGCUCUUAAAUACUUUGUUUAUAAAGCUAAGGGGGAAAAAACACACAAAAAGAAGUAUGAUAGUAGCCCAAACUUUAGUGCUUUGAGAUGUUUGUUUUACAGAUUUGGGCUAUCAUGACUCCAGCAGACCGGUUCAGUAAAAGAUACAGGACUGUUCUGAUAUUGGGAUGAGGUGUUAUUUAAUUGAAAGUCAUGAGGUCGGACCGGCAGGCAGAUCAAAUACGCAAGCAUACAGCACCCACCGGAUCCAAUCCCCGCUGCCAUCGGAAGAGAAUCGAUUGCGAGAUUACCGAUAUUUCUUGCGAGACUGGACGUGAUCUUAUUAGAUCUCACAUGUUUCCCCAUGAGACAUUGAAUGGGAUCUGACGAUCAGUGUAUAUAAACAGCCUAUUGUCAAGUAAAGAACAGUUCAAUGCAUUGACUUUAUUUUGAAAAUUAACCAGAUAUUUUACUCUGUAACCAGAUACAACUUCCACUGCAGCUUGUGCUGCGCUGCUCUGAACUGAUGUGCCGUGCUCCGGCGUCCGGCAAAAAUAGAAGCCUUGCGUAUCUGAUCCGGCCACCGGAGUCGAUCUGCAGCGGAGCCGAACGGCGGACGGAUUCUGUGGAAUGACACACAUUGAUUAUAAUGCUUGGGUAUUAGAUCCGCCUGCCAUGCCAGAGUGGAGCAGAGCCGUUCAGGAUCCUGUGGGUUUUGCCCGUUACACUGCUUGGUAUCCAUACUUUAUGUAAGAAAAGUUUGGAAACACAAGGUAAAUGUAUAAUGUCAUAAUCCUAGUUGAUGUAAGCUGCUCAAAAUCUCUGACAAAUGUGCAAAAGGUUCUGCCUUACUGCUGAUGAUGAGAGCCUUUCAGAGUUGGAAUUGUAAAUAUUAAACAUGAUCAAUAUUUAUGAUCAGAAUUCUUAUCCCAGAGGACAGUUGUCCAUUGCCAUCUGACUUGUUGGGUUUCCCAUCCCUCUUAAACAUACAUUUGUGAUUAUCCAAGGCAGUGUAACGUGGGCCUGAAAAAUAAAAACAAAUCUUUCAGAUAAUUGGAUCAAUCACAAUUUUCCAACCAAGGCAUAUAGUACCUUACACUGAGCUGGUUUGAUUUUACCAAGGCAGACCUUUAACAACCACAGCAGCUCGAUGUGAAUCGGUCAUUACAACUCUGGACAACCGCUCACGUCUGCCCGUCUAUCAAUAUGAAGCAGUCAAUCUCCCCGUCCCUGACAUUCACAGUUUAACACAUCGAAAGAAAACUUUUCUUUUACAUGACCGAUCUGUGACGCACAUUAAACCGUUUUUGUCUUCCAGCUGUCACUCUCUGCUCCUCUCCCUGUCUGGUCACAUCCCACUCCACCCUCCAUAAACACACUCUCAUAAAGACAGCCCACUGGAGGCAGGAAGGACACCUUCUCCCUCUUUUCCCCUCUUUGUCACCUCC